UACAGAGGGUGCGAGCGUUAAUCGGAAUUACUGGGCGUAAAGCGCACGUAGUCGGCUUUGCAAGUCGGGUGUGAAAUCCCCGGGCUCAACCUAGGAACUGCAUCCGAGACUGCAUUGCUAGAGUAUGGGAGAGGGAAGCGGAAUUUCUGGUGUAGCAGUGAAAUGCGUAGAUAUCAGAAGGAACAUCAGUGGCGAAGGCGGCUUCCUGGACCAAUACUGACGAUCAGGUGCGAAAGCGUGGGGAGCAAACAGG
rnacentral:rRNA from 1 species